rnacentral:rRNA from 1 species
GCCUAAAGAGAAGCUUGCGGCUGAUUAGCUUGUUGGUGAGGUAAUAGCUCACCAAGGCGACGAUCAGUAUCUGGUUUGAGAGGACGAUCAGACACACUGGAACUGAGACACGGUCCAGACUCCUACGGGAGGCAGCAGUAGGGAAUUUUCCGCAAUGGGCGAAAGCCUGACGGAGCAAUACCGCGUGAGGGAUGACGGCCUAUGGGUUGUAAACCUCUUUUUUCAGGGAGGAAUAAAUGACGUGCACCUGAAGAAUAAGCAUCGGCUAACUCCGUGCCAGCAGCCGCGGUAAGACGGAGGAUGCAAGUGUUAUCCGGAAUCACUGGGCGUAAAGCGUCUGUAGGUGGUCCAAUAAGUCAACUGUUAAAUCUUGAGGCUCAACCUCAAAACCGCAGUCGAAACUAUUAGACUAGAGUAUAGUAGGGGUAAAGGGAAUUUCCAGUGUAGCGGUGAAAUGCGUAGAUAUUG